rnacentral:rRNA from 1 species
AUACGAACCGUACGAACGUUAUUCGGAAUCACUGGGCUUAAAGAGUGCGUAGGCGGCUUGGUAAGUUGGAUGUGAAAUCCCUCGGCUCAACCGAGGAACUGCGUUCAAUACUGCCAAGCUUGAGGGAGAUAGAGGUGAGCGGAACUAAUGGUGGAGCGGUGAAAUGCGUUGAUAUCAUUAGGAACACCAGUGGCGAAAGCGGCUCACUGGGUCUCUUCUGACGCUGAGGCACGAAAGCUAGGGGAGCGAACGGGAUUAGAAACCCUAGUAGUCC